rnacentral:lncRNA from 1 species
GUAGCCCAAGAUUGUGCCUUUCGACUUGUCAUGGAACGUAAAGUCAUUGAGCUCAGCUUCGAACUACCAUAAUAUUUGGAAGUGUUAUUGGUGCCAUUUCCAGAAGCAGUUGAUACAUUUGAAUUUGUGUUUCCAGUACUUUCCCCUGAAAGCCUUGAAUUUCGUCGAGGGACAGAAUCAGAAAAUAACCUCCCAGAUAUCUGGACACAUAAGAGAGCACACUCAGAUCCAAAAAAUGAGGAAUCUGAUACAUUUGAAUUUGUGUUUCCAGUAGAUUCCCCAGAAAGCCUUGAAUUUCGUCGAGGGACAGAAUCAGAAAAUAACCUCCCAGAUAUCUGGAAAUAUAAGAGAUAGCGAACUCAGAUCCAAAAAAUUGGGAAUGGAAAUCAAAGGAGAUAAGGUGCGCAUUCAAGGUGCACAAUCCUCCAGCUCAGAUUGAUCCACCAAACAAAACACCAGAAUUGUAAAAUGUAAAUUCAAGGGGCACAAUCCUCCAGCUCAGAUUGAUC